AUAUCACCUGCCUUGGUCCCAUCCCUGCACAGAAGGCCUAAUUUCCUCCCCAUGCCAGCCCCUUUCUGCCUUGGGCCCCCUCAAAGUAUCCAAGUUCCAAGAGUUCAGAAGGCCACAGAAAACUUGCAGGACAGACUCACUAGUGAAGAGAGGCAGAGGUUCUGAUUCACAGUCCGAGGUUGUGACUCACCUAGGGCUACACAUCAGUAGUGAGCAGAGGUGGAGGGACAUGUGUAUCCAGGGGGUCAGUUUUUCACCCUUCCUCAGCCCCCUUGCGUGGCCCACACCCCAGGAAGUCAGAGGCAAAGGCAGCAGUCUAAAGAGAGGAGGCACCCAUGUUCUAGAAGGGCCCCGGCACCUGGAGAGUGACAUGUGAGGAGAAUCCAGAGGGUGGAAAUGCUGGCAUGUGGGGCGCCUGAAGGAGAGACACUCUGGCCGCACUGGCUCAGUGAGAGGAGGCUCGUGGGUCCGAGGCCCAGCAGCCUGAGGCUCUCUCUGCUUGCACUUGUCUUCAGCCAUGGGAGAGCCACCAUCUCACUGAGCUACAGCCUCAGCUUUCCUCCCUCAGACCAGACCAGCAGCAGAAGCAACAGCAUACAUGACACCCAGUACAGCUACACACACACCACUUUUCCCGAAAUAAAUCUUCACGUACUUCCCAUGUCCGUGCACAUACACCUCCAGGUACCUCGUGAGACCACAGACACACAGAUGUCAUAGUCUUUUGCAGAAACUCCUGUGAAGAAAUUCCUUCUGGUAUGAAAAGACUCUGUCGGUGAUGUCAGCUACUCUUUAUUUUCCAGUUGUGAGAACUGAAGCCCUAGAGAAGCCUGGGAAUUGCUUAGGAGCUCAGGGAGAAUGCCGAGGCUGGGACCAGAACCCAGGUUCCAGAUGGCCAGGCUGUGCUUUCAGUCCACUGCAUUCUCAUUCCCAAGCGGCCUCUCACUGAUUUCCCAGGCCACAGCCAUUUCCUCAUCUCGGACACCAAUCUGGUUCCCUGGACAGAUAGGCUCAACACACACUCGGGUACAACACACACACACACACACGCACACACAUACACACACGCACACGCACACACACAGGCACACACACAUGCACACACAUGUGCAUACCAUACCAUACCAUACCAUACCAUACCAUACCAUAUCAUACAGCCACUUGGCUCACUGUAUUUCCUUAAGCUUGCUCUUGAAGAGCCUUUCUGGAAGCCUGGCUCCUGGACUUUGAGCUAGGGUGAAAUGGCAAUGGGGCACAGGAGGCCAGCCUUAUCUCUUGCUUCCAGCCUGGAACCAAUAGACAGAAGACUGGGGGUGGCAGGGCGGUGUGGGGAUGAGGCAGAGAGACAGAUGCACUGGUUAGAGACCGGUGAGAACAGGUCAUACCAUCCCCAAACCUGGCUUCUCUCUAAGGCCCAUCUUACCUUCCCAACCCUCAGAAAGUAAGAAAGCGGGGGAGGGAGACAGUGGAAGGAGUUAUCUAAUGGAGAGACAGUAUCCCUUUGGACAGCGCUGCCAGGCUUCCCAUCUGGAGAUGAGGGGAAAACACAAAUAGGUAUAUGGGCUGGCACAGGGUUUGGGGAGAGGGGCUCUGAGGUGUGAGAACUGCCCCCAUUGCUUGGAUCCUUUUCUUCUCAAAACCCCUUUCCUUCCUUUCCAAGCCGGGCUUGGGGGGGAUUCAUGGCUUCACUGGCUGGGGCCAACCUUCCGGCCCUGUGAUCCCUUCACCCAACGCUUACAUUUGGCCUCCUGGCCUUCAGUGCUGCCCCCCUGACUGCAGCUAUAGGAGAGGUGGCAGGGUGCUUGGGUGUGGUUCCCCCCAAGUAACCGAACAAACAGUGCCCACCCCUCCUCAGCCCCGGGGCUGGAGACAGACCCGGUUUUGGUUUCUCCGGCUCCUUGAACACACAGAGGUACACGUCCUACCAUAGGAGGAAGCAAUGACUGUUACGAGGUUGGCGGCUCUAAGAGGCGCGGGGCUGGGGACCAGUGGACCAGCAGGGUAGGGGUCUCUCCUGCUGCAUCCCACCGGGCCCAGGUCAGCGCCCCGUGCACCGCGGCGACCCCGCCCACUACUGAAUGUGGCAGGCGGUGGAGGAAGUGGCCUGACAACACAUGCAGGUGGGGUUCACAGACUUGGGGGGGAUGAGAUCUAGGUCCUCGUCGUCGGGGAUCUCGUCUAACCGGUAGCCAUCUUUCAGCAGCUGGAUGUUCAAAUCUUGGUUGAUCUGCUGUAGAAAAGGGUUUGCCCGAUUUCAGGUCAACUCCUGUAAGGUGUCUGCCCGCAUUUCACACCUGUUCUAUUUUAGAGCCCCUCUUUAAUAACCCCGGGCUCGCUGUAAUUCAGGUUAGUGAUUUCUUCCCAAAUUCUCCCAGCCCAGGCCCAGCCUAACGCGGAGCCCCUCCUCCACAGGAUUCUGCCCCACGUGCCUUUCUUCUGCCCCUUAGGAACAACACCCCACCCACCCCCGCCCACUGCCUGGCUGCCUGGUAAAGGUAGUCUGGCUCCCGUGGUUUGUGGAGGCAAGGGGUGGAGCCUCACCUCGGCAGAGGAGUAGCCAGAGGAAGAGUAUCUGGACAUGUCAAAGUCAUCGUCGCUGGCCAUGAGAAGAGCGAGAG
rnacentral:lncRNA from 1 species